rnacentral:rRNA from 1 species
AACGCUGGCGGCGCGCUUAACACAUGCAAGUCGAACGGGGCUCUUCGGAGCCCAGUGGCGAACGGGUGCGUAACACGUGAGCAACCUGCCUGGAGGAGGGGGAUAACCUCGGGAAACCGGGGCUAAUACCGCAUAUGCUCUUCUGUCUGAGUGGACGGAAGAGGAAAGGGGCUACGGCCUCGUCUUCAGAGGGGCUCGCGGCGUAUCAGCUGGUUGGUGAGGUAAUGGCUCACCAAGGCGACGACGCGUAGGGGGUCUGAGAGGAUGGCCCCCCACAUUGGGACUGAGAUACGGCCCAGACUCCUACGGGAGGCAGCAGUGGGGAAUCUUGCGCAAUGGCCGAAAGGCUGACGCAGCGACGCCGCGUGCGGGAGGACGCCCUUCGGGUUGUAAACUUCUUUUGUCAGGGACGAGUAGAAGACGGUACCUGACGAAUAAGCCACGGCUAACUACGUG